GGCGGGGCCUGGCCCUGUAAACAGUGUUAACUACUUCGGAGUGCUUCCCUUACUCCAUUCGCAGUCACGCUGAAGUGCAGUAAGCAGCUCUAGCUCCAUACACCAUACCCCUCGAAGUACUCUCCAGCCGGCGUCUUGUUUACGUAUAAUUUAGACUGAGGAUACUACACACGAAACGCUGAAUACCCCGCCAUGAGUUAUUACUCGAAUAAAGAAAUUUUUUACCACUAUACCUCGAAGGAAGGGAAAGAUGCUAUUCUGGAUUCCGGUGUCAUCCGACCAAGCAGACGUCGUGGUUACGGAAAUGAUGCCAUGUAUGGAGAUGGUGUUUACGGCACGAGGAUGGAUCCCGAGAACUUCUCCAAGAUGCAGCUGGCGAGGAACAAUUACGACUCGCACACUGGAGUUUGGAGGCCUCUCUUGAAAGGGGGAAAAGUAGACUUUACCUUCAAGCUCUACCUUCCAAAGGGUAGAGUGGAAGAAGUCGAGGACACCGACCGCAGUAUCUUACUCCAUCACGGAAACAUUUAUCUUGAUAAUGUUCGGUAUGAAGUUAUUCCCGUACCAUCGGGUAACCGAACUUAUUAUUCACGAAGAGGUCGUUGUUGAUUAACUGGUACGAGCAAGCGUAAGGUAUGGGAUAUGGAGUUCAUUGCCUUAGCAAAUAGUUUCUAUUUUUUUUUUUUUCUGAAAUUUUUUCUGAACGUCGUCAAAAUUAAUAUUUGAAUACAGAAUGGAAGAAAUAAAGAUUCUAUUUUGUUUGCAUCUGUAAGACCUUUAAGUCGUUCAAUACAAAGUAGUAUUUUGUAAAAUA